rnacentral:rRNA from 1 species
ACAGGGUGACAGCCCCGUACACAAAAGCGCAUGUGCUGUGAGCUCGAUGAGUAGGGCGGGACACGUGGUAUCCUGUCUGAAUAUGGGGGGACCAUCCUCCAAGGCUAAAUACUCCUGACUGACCGAUAGUGAACCAGUACCGUGAGGGAAAGGCGAAAAGAACCCCGGCGAGGGGAGUGAAAAAGAACCUGAAACCGUGUACGUACAAGCAGUGGGAGCACCCUUUGGGUGUGACUGCGUACCUUUUGUAUAAUGGGUCAGCGACUUAUAUUCUGUAGCAAGGUUAACCGAAUAGGGGAGCCGGAGGGAAACCGAGUCUUAACCGGGCGUUAAGUUGCAGGGUAUAGACCCGAAACCCGGUGAUCUAGCCAUGGGCAGGUUGAAGGUUGGGUAACACUAACUGGAGGACCGAACCGACUAAUGUUGAAAAAUUAGCGGAUGACCUGUGGCUGGGGGUGAAAGGCCAAUCAAACCGGGAGAUAGCUGGUUCUCCCCGAAAGCUAUUUAGGUAGCGCCUCGUGAAUUCAUCUCCGGGGGUAGAGCACUGUUUCGGCUAGGGGGCCAUCCCGGCUUACCAACCCGAUGCAAACUGCGAAUACCGGAGAAUGUUAUCACGGGAGACACACGGCGGGUGCUAACGUCCGUCGUGAAGAGGGAAACAACCCAGACCGCCAGCUAAGGUCCCAAAGUCAUGGUUAAGUGGGAAACGAUGUGGGAAGGCCCAGACAGCCAGGAUGUUGGCUUAGAAGCAGCCAUCAUUUAAAGAAAGCGUAAUAGCUCACUGGUCGAGUCGGCCUGCGCGGAAGAUGUAACGGGGCUAAACCAUG